AGCUCCUUCACCUGAUAUGACUUGCCUAGGGUCACAUAGCUAAUAUAUAUAUCAACCCUGCCUCUUUAGCUCAGAUCUUUUUGACUCAGAGGUUGACCUUUUGCUUUCUAUACCAGGCUUCCUGUCAACAUUUCCCUAACUAACAUAAUCAUACAAGCCAUUCUUGCAUGCAUAUUAUGUUAACUACUUUAAAACUUUAUCACUGAUUAUUAUAAAUAAUCCCUAUGUUAUAAAAAUAAUUAUGGAGUUGUCAAUGUGGAAUCUAGAAGCCUCCAAACUUGUAGCCUAGAAAGAUUUAGUGAUCCCCAGUUUACUUGGUUUGAAGGUGAAGACCCCAGGUUUGACCUUGUCACAUGAGAGUUCCUCCCUGAGGGAAAGUCCUACUUCACUGCCUCUCAGAUUAACAAUAGACCUUGAGUUAUAGCUCAGUAGGUAGCACCUCAGUCUCAUAAACCAGCUCCCCACAGGGGAAUGUGGUACAAAAUGGGAGAAGCUUCUACAGCAAAAAGAGGCAUCUGUUGGGAUUAGCUGUCCCCACACAGAAUUAACCUUAAGGUCUAUUGCUAGACUAUGAGGCAGUGAAGUAGGCCUUUCCCUCAGGAAGGAACUCUCAUGUGACAAGGUCAAACCCGGGGUCUUCACCUUCAAACCAAGUAAACUGGGGAAUCACUAAAUCUUUCUAGGCUACAAGUUUGGGGGCUUCUAGAUUCCAUGUUGACAGAGUCAUGAUGUCAUAAGGUUAGAAGGGGUUGAGAAGAAAUCAUCCUACUUGUGAUAGGAAUAACUCCUAGAAACAUUUGGAGUAGGGGUCCAUGAACUCCUUUGUUUAUUUUAAUUUGUAUCGUUUUCAAUAAAAGUGGUUUCCUUUAUCAACAUGUUUUAUUGUGUGUAUUUAACAUCAUUCCUUUAGGUGUGGUACUUGCCUGUUUUCCUGUUGUUGGAGAAGUUGAUCCUGGCAGACUUCUUGAGCUUAGAAUUCUGAACUGAAAUUGAUAGAAUAUUGGCACCACGGCAGCAACCCUUUGUUGAGAUCCCAGGAGAGGGGUUAUCUUGCCACCUGAAGAAGAGAAAAAUAAUAUUUGUAGAAAAACAGUUUGGGUAAAAAGUACCUGUCAUGUGGAGCUAUUUUUCCCAAUAACUAUUUUAAUACAGUUUCCUUUGUAAACUAUGUAAAGUUGAUGUUAACAUGAAGUCCAAUACCAAAAUGGCAAACCCUUAGGGCUACCAGGCUGUAUACAGAAGGGAGAUCUGAAAAGCAGAGCAGAUUCCUUACAGCUCCCAUGUCAAUCAGUAUUAUAAUCAAUCUGUGAGUGACUGCUUCACCUCCAGCCUAGGUGAGAGAGGGAAACCUAGUCUCAAAACAAAACAGAAUAAAAAAACCCCACAUUGCUUUGAGAAGGGGUCCAUAGGCUUCAUUAGAUUGUCAACAGAUGUCUAUGACAAACACAGUAUUAAGAACCUCUAAUCCAAAUCAAGCCAUUCAUAACUUUUUGAUAACCCAUUCCAGUAGGAAGUAGCUCUUAAUAUCAGUAAAUUCUUUCUUUAAUCCAGCUCAAAAAUCUCUUUAAAUCCAUUUUCUCUCUAGUUACUAGUGAAGAAAUAAAACAUAUGCUCAUCAUUCUUCAUAUGACAGUUUUUCAUUUGCUUACAGAUCUUUACAAAUCUUUCCUUUUUUGAUUUAUAUAAAUUUUUUUCACUUUAACUUGCCCUCAUAGAUCUGACUUUCCCACUCUCAGUUACUUUCUUGUUUUUUUCCUAACCCAAGAACCUCUUUAGCUAUGGACUCCAGAACUGGAACUAUAAAUUAUAGAGAGGUUGCCAACCUGCAUUACUACUGUUGUGCUCCGAUACCAUUUCUAUUGAGGCAGUGUGUCCCCAGAAUGUUGGAUCUGGAGUCUAGAAGACCCCUGCUGCUGCACAGGUUCAAAUCCCCCUGCUCUGUGACCAUGAGAAAAUUACUUCAACUCUGCCUCAAACUUAGUUUCCCCAUCUUUAAAAUGAAGACAAUGUUUAUAGUCUCCAUCUUACAGGGUUAUUUUGUAAAGUUCAAGAGAGAUACUAUAUCAGGUACUUGAAUACUUUAAAGUAUUUAUAUCAGAUACUUAUUAUUAGUUGUAAAGUUUUGAGUAGUGCUCAGUUUAAGGGGAGCAUUCAAUAGUAUUGAGAUAUUGGUCUACUCAAAUGUGGCUUUUGGGGGAUAAAGACUGAUUUUAUUACUUUAAGGGAGCCAAUAAUUUCACAUAUAUGCCAUUUUUAUUUUUUACUUUGUCAACCUUGAAAAACACAGAACCACCCAAAAUAGUUAGAACAAGUGUUUGAUUAGGACAAGGAAAACAGGGCUCUAAUUGGCCUUAAGUAGAGUCAUGUGCAAGAUAGCACACAGAGACAAGUGCUGGGACUCUGGGAAGUCUCUGAGGAUGCAUCUUAAAAAGGAGAUUUUCCAAAGAACUGAAGAAUUAGGGAUUUCAUAUGCCCUUUGGGGAAUAAAAGAAAGGAAGGACAAUUGAAGUGUUUACAUGGAGAAUUCCAGCCAGAGGAAAGACUACCUGGAAGAAGCCUAGAUACAAUGGGAGAAACUUCUAAGACAGAAGGAUACCUAAAGAUUUGAUUAUAUCUACUCAUUCAUCUAGGCUGAGAUCACUGGGUACUUCAAGGUUUUUCUUUAGUCUAAGACUAAGGUCAGCCUGGGAGUUCUCUAAAGGCAUAAUCCAAGGGACAAAGGUAAAUUUGGGGGUUCCAUAAAACAAGGUCAUCAGCUUAUAUAAACAUUUGGAUAUAUUCAUUGUAUUUAUAUAUGUAAAUGUACAUUAUGUGUUGACUUGGAAAAAACACAAAACUAUUAAAUAGUCAGAAAAAUCACUCUUUAAUCAAGGAAGAGGGGUUCAGUGUGAUAGUCGCCUCUACACAGAGCUGCACACUAACAACUACACAGAGUCCCAGGUUGAACUCUGGAUGCUCUGGACACUGACCCUCAGCCAGGGGCUGGGCCACCUGGAUUAAGGAUUUUGGCCUAAAGGGAGAAACCAUUGGGACAAAAGAGAUACUGAACUUCUGAUGGAAUUAGCUAUUCCCACCUAAACUACCUUAAAGUUUAUUGUUUAUAGUGUUUAAAGUUUAUAGUGUUUAAAGUUUAUAGUGAAGUAGGACUUUCCCUCAGGAAGGAACUCUCAAGUGUCAAGGUCAACCUGGGGCUUUUCACCUUGUCAUUAAAUCUUUCUAGGCUACAAGUUUGGGGGCUUCUAGAUUCCACAUUGACACAUGUAAUAAAAAAAAAAAAAACAUCUUUCCCAAUAUGAAUUGCCAUAUUUCUGCAGUUUAAAGUCUUCCUGAAUCCAAGGUGAGCCUACUAUCCAUUCCAGCAGGCUACCUCUUGAGUGGCUUUUUGCCCUUUAGGAACAACUAAUCUUCAUUACUCAUGCUUGUCAGUAGUUAUUCAUUCUGCAUCUUCUAUUUGAGCAUCCUUUUUGUAUGUUACAUUGUUCUACAAAUUUGGGACCCUUUUCCUUAUUUUCUAAAAUAGUUUUAAAUGUGGGUCCUGACUUUCAAGACUUUUCUUUCUUUUGAUAUCAACUGCAAACUCAAUGACUAUUUUUUUACUCUUUUUAAAAAGAAAAACAGUUCUUUGACUCCUUACCUUUAUAAUUUACAAAGCAUUUUCAGAUUUAUUAUCUCAUUUGAGCCUCCAAGCCACUUUCUGAGAGAGGCAGGGGAGGUAUUAUCAUCACCCAUUUAUAGAUAAGGAAGCAGAAAAUCAGCAGAAGAUAAGUCAGUGAUUUUCCCUGGAGUCAAGUCAUCUGACUUUCUAAUCCAAUGCGCCAUAAUGCCUCUGAUCAUCUGAGUUGAAAAAUGUAAAUGUCACUGGACCAAAAUUGACCAAGCUGUGUAGGACACAGAGUUCUAAUUAGUAAGGGGAUAAAUAGGUCUUUGCUCCAGGAUGCCAGCAUCUUGGAAGGGGUGGACAGGCUACCUCCCUCUAGUAAUCAUGGUGCGCAUACUUCACCUCACUGUUAUCUACUGGAUUGCCCACCAUAUUGUAGGCUGCCCACUAUGAAGCAUGGCUGCUCCUAGCCUGUUCCUUUUUCUGGGAUCAUCAUGGUACCCCAAGACUCAGAGACAGGUGACUUUUCUGGCAGGGCUACACAUUUGGUCAGAUGCUUAGACCUCUCCCUACCCUACCCCACAGAUGAAAGUCAUAUCUCUGCUUUGGUUCCAUGUAAAGAAUUCCUAGUUAAACUUUCUGAUGGAAUCAUAUUUACUAUGCCUUUCGAAGCUCAUAGUUUGGAUGCACUCACUUGUGAAUGACCAAAUUAUACAACCCUCCAGAUGAUUUAGCCUUUGAAGUAGAAAUCAGUUUUGCAUUUAAAGACCUUCACAACCUGCCCCACCCCCCAAUCCUAUUAUACAUUUCUCCCCUUAUGUAGUAAAAAAAGAUAAAAGGAGGGAAGUUUUGUGCCCCAGGGGGAGCUUGGACUUUCAGGAUGGAGAAGGGGAAAGAGAAGAGAUCCCCCUUCUCAAAGUGGGGCUAAGGGGAGGCAGCAGAUAUAACGGGUUGGCUCAGAGAGAGGAGAGGGGGUUUGAAGAUUUUCCACCUUCUGCCUUGCCUCUUUAGCUAAAGCUGCUUUCCCCAAUUUGCUCUUAUCCCUCUUGUCCCUCUUGACCCUCCACUACUGGAGACCAAAAGGUCUCCCCUUGAUCCGUUCACUCACACUCAGCUUGGGGAACAGAUAACUUUAAUGUUAACUAAGAUAAUACAAAAGAAAUAAAGGGCAGGGAAGAAUGGGAAAAGGAAAGUGGGAAAAGGGGGUCCCUGUCUCUAUCUAAUCCCUUUCCCCUCCCUCCUUAAGUUUGGGGGGGAACUCAGGCCUUGGCAGCCUGAGCCCCCUGAGAGAAAGUCAGGUUGACUCACCCCUGGGCAACAGGAGCUGAGGUAAAUUCUGUUCAGGUUUCUCUUCAGAAGGUCCCUUCAGUUGGGAAGUGUUGGGGGGAAGGAUUUCCAGUCACCAGUGGGAAAAGUGGGUAACCCUCAGGAGAAAGCCUUUAUCAACCUUCUCUCUUCAAUGUCUCAAGACAGAGAGACCCUCCCUGCUCUCCCAGCCAGAGUCUUCUCUUCUCAGGAUUCCACUCCAGACCUCCCACCCCCCACCCCUUCCCAUCGAGGUGGUCAAUUUCACAUACUCUUUAAUCUGGCACUUUUUCUUUAGUGCCAGCCUCUGUCACACUUAAGAGAUGAUCUGGCUCACUAGAGCCAAUUAUUAAAUUUCCAGUGUGAACCUGUAUAUCUCAGAAGUUAGCAAAUGCUACAAAUCAGAGCUUGAUUUAUGGUAUUAUCAAUUAUCUGGCAAUGGAGAAAUAUUAAAAACAAAGUGAUAGAGAAAAUGUUAAUAAUGCAGAUUAAACUUAGCAUACUUUUGAGGGGGGGAGUAUUUCGUUAAGCAAUAUACCACUGUCUGUAUAACCCAGUUAAACUGAAUUAAAAAAAAUAUUCCUUAUACAUGGGGCUUUGUUUCCAGACUUUGUUUUUGCCCUGCCUACCCCUCAAGCAUGAGAUAUUCUUCUUUCUCUCUACUUUUGAGAAUCCCUAGUCUCAAAAUUUAAAAUUUUAAAAAAAUCUUCAAAAUUUAUUCCAAGUUGGGGCAGCUAGGUGGCUAAGUGGAUAGAGUCAUGUCUAGAGACUUGAGGUCUUGGUUUCAAAUUUGACCACAGAUACUUCCUAGCUGGAUACCCCUAGAAAAGUCACUUAACCCCAGUUCCUUCACCUUUACCACUCUUCCAUCUUAGAACCAGUGCUAAGUAUUGAUUCUAAGACAGAAGGUAAGGGUUUAAAAAAUAUUUAGCCCAAGAGCCACAUUUUCCAUAAAUCCUUGCCUGUUCUUCAUAGCUGCCCGGUAUUCUCCCCACUUUCCCAAACCCCCUUAUGUCUACUCUAUUUUGUAUCCAGCCAAGACUGAUUACUAUGAACAGUGAAUUCUGUGUAGUGGAAUUCUUUAAAUCUAUAUUAAUUGAAGUUAUAAUUAUAUGUAAAUUAUGGCAGUUGGUCCUAACCCAACAGAAAUCUGCAUUGACAAUUCAAGUAAUGUGACCCCUUCACAGGAUUCAUUAUUUACACUCAUGGAGACCUGUUAUAUAUAUAUAUAUAUAUAUACACACACACAUACCUGUCUUCUCCCUGAUGGAAUGUCAGCUGCUGCUUGAGGGUGGGAGUUUGCUUUGUAUUUCUCAUGCCUAGAUGCCUAGCAAACAAUGUCUGGUACAUAAUUAGCGCCCAAAUCAGUAUUUGUUGAUUGACUCUGAUGACAGGGUAUCAAGAGGCUCCAUUGUGACCAUGGUGGACCACAUUUCCAUUGUGUGAUUUCCAUCAUUCCCAGACUUUUCUCUAAUCUCAUGCUAUGGAUUAAGAGCACACAAAAAUGAAAAAUAAUAGUUUUAUUUGAAGCAUCAUUGAUUAAUGCUAUUCAUGCAUUAUGCCAAGCAGAUGUGUCAUUAAAAAAAAAUUCAAGAUGGUUAAAGCUUGACACUCUAUGUGAGAUGCCCAACCAGUGGUCUAACAGAAGAUUAUUCUAAUCAGAUACCUUUUUAUUUUUUUACUUUUUGCUGUCUAAGUUGCUCAUCCUCCCAGGUCUUGUAUUUUGUACCACUUUCCAGGUGACUGGAGGCAAAGAUAAGAACAUUUGCCCUCCUGCUAUGAAAAUUCAGGGGAAAUGGAAUGAUUUCAAGAGCAAGCUGCAGGCAGAUGUAAAUAUCCAAAAUGCUUAAUACUGGAGGGGAAAACCACACUGUCUUUAUUCUGUGAAGACAGAACUGUGACAAAACCAUCAGGAAGCAUUUUAGAAAAGAAUAAAUUGUCAUGGAUGGGAAUAAGUUGUGAGUAUAACCAUAAUGUUCCAUCCAGUUAAUCAGUGAAUUGACAAGCAUGUAUUAAGGACCUUUUGUCUCCAAUGCACUCUGGGCAUUCAAAAACAAAAGAAAAAUAAUUCCUGCCCUCAAGGAGCUUACAUUCUAAGAAAAGAGAUUACAUAUACAUACAUUGGUAUGUUAAAAACACAUCUAAGGUAGAUGCUGUACAAGGCACCUUCAAAGGGGACUAGAAAGGGCCUUACUCAAAAGCUGACACUUGAACUGAGUCCUGAAAGAAACUAGAGGGUCCAAGGGACAGAGGUGAGAAAGGAGUUCAUUUCAGGCAUGUCCAACUAAUACAAAGACUCAGAGAUGGAAAAUCAAGCAAAGAACAUCAAGAAAGCUACUUUGACAAGAUUGUAGUGUUCAGAGAAGUAUAUCAUUAGGCUUUAAUUAAUAAUGAAUAAAUUUAAUAAAUAAUAAUAAAUGAUAUAUAUUAUUAUAUAUAAAUAAUUAUAUCAUUAGGCUGGAAUGGUGGGAUGGGACCGCUCUAUAAAGAAUUUUAAAUGCCAAACAGAGGAAAUGCUGUUAGAUCCUAUAGGCUAUAAGGAGCCACUGGAGAUUCUUGACUAGGAAAUCCCCAUCCCUGUAGAUUCUUGACUUGGACUGAAAAAUAUGGAGGAAUGAAUGCCAUUCACAACUAAAAACACACCAGCUUUCUAGGCCUGUCCCACCCUUCUCCACAAUGUCUUUCUCUGAUGCCUUUUCAUUGUGUUAUGGAUAGAAUCCUGGGUUUUCAAUGGCUUCAGAGUGACAGUCUUGUCAGGUCCCACUGAGUCAGAAAGGCUUUGAGAAUAACAUCUGUGUCCCAUUGGAGAACCAGCCCAUUUCUCUUUUAAGAGAUCAGUUGUCAGGUGAGUCAGAGGGUGAUUAAUGGUUCUUCUACUCCAACUUUCAGAUACUAUCUCCUGAGAUAGAGUUGUACCUGUACUGCUACAGAAAACCAUCUAAUUGACAAAAUUAGAAAGUAUUGCUGAGCUUAAGAUUCACAGUGGUCUUUGGUCAUCAGAUCCUGUUAGCUUUCUCUAAUUAACAUUUUGGGUUACUGAGCUAUUCAAGAUGUAGUACCAUGCCAUAAGGAAUAGACAAAUGCCCUAGGAAUCAGGAAGAUUUGCAUUUUGGUUUGGCUCUAUGACUCUGGGAACUCUCUAAGACUCUAAGUUUGGGAAAGGGAUUGACCUGCAUUGGUAGGAGAGUUUUCUUUUACCCAUAAAAUCACAAGUUCAGUUCCUUUCCCUCUUCCUAUCUUACAUUAUCUUCAAGUAAGCAUGUAAGAGGGGGUAGAGUAGAAGGAGUCAGGGGAACUGGGUUUGAAAUGGUCUUUAACACAGAAAGUCUAGAGAAUUUGAGGUAAGCCAUUUUAUUCCAUCUGAGACUAGUUUCCUCUUUGCAAAACAAGGAAUCAAGAUUCAAGAAACAAUCUUAGUAGACUGAAAUGAUGGACUAAACUACAGAAAUCAGUUUAAUAAGAAUAAAGGUAAAUUUGUACACUUAGGCCAAAAAAAAAGAUCAAUUACAGAAGCCCUGGCUUAGCUCAUGUGAAAAAGAACUAGGGAUUUUAUUACCUCAAGUGUAAUGUAAACCAAAAGUGUGAUGUGACUGCCAAAAAAACCUCAUACAAGAAUCUUUGUUGUUAUUGUUGAGUCAUUUAAGUCAUGUUUGAUUCUUGGUGACUCCAUUAGGGGUUUUCUUGGCACAGAUACAGGAGUAGUGUGCCAUUUCCUUCUCGGGUUCAUUUUAUAGAUGAGGAACUGGGGCAAAUAGGAUUAAAGUCACCUGCCCUAGUUCUGAGGCUAUAUUUGAACUUAUCAAGAUGAAUCUUCCUGACUCCAAGCCCUGCACUUGGUGCACUAUGGGACCACCUAGCUGCCUCAGUACAAUCUUAGGCUACAUUAAUAGAGAAGCAUACUAUCUAGAGGAGGCUUAUCACUGUCCCAUUCUACUGUCCACUAUUUAGACUCCAUCUAAUAGAGAAUUCAUAGAAGAAAAUGCCCAUUUGAAGUGUGUCCAGAGGAAGGCUACCUAGGAAGGUAAAGAGUACCUAAAUCUUCAUGGAAUCCUUGAACCAGAGAUUUGAACUGGAAGGGAGCUUAGGGAAAGGAGACCUUUGUGCCAAUAUGAUGAAUACUUGGAGAAAUUUAACAUGCUUAACAUUUGAAAUGACUUGAAAAAUUAGUGUCCCCAAACCUAGGAGAGUGCCUGGUGCAUAAUGGGAGCUUAAAUGUUUAUUGACUGAUCAAUUGAUUGAAAAAGAAAGUUUGAUAAAGGCAAAGACAGAAGGGAGAUGGUCUUACUUUCUUCCAUUAUUUUCAGAGCUAUCACAUGGAAGACUUCAGUACAGCACCAGAGGGAAGACCUAGGGCUAGUGUCUAGAAGUUACAGAGAAGCAGAUUUCCAGUAUGCCAAAAAGAAAAUGAUCGUUUGCCUUGUGACGAAUUUGGACAACGGUGUCCCCCGAUUUUCUGGUCUAAGAGGAAGCUUAAUCCAAUUUCUUCUUGCAGAUGAGAAAAUGAAGACACUGGGGGAUUGACAGGGUCUUUGAGCUACUCCACUAAGUGACAGAACUGAAAUUUGAACUCUGCCCUCCAGAUCAUCCCUGAGUGCAGCAAGUGCCCCUAGGAGGUCAAGCUCACCUGGUGGGGCCAUAGUGGUACUGUGCUUGCUCCGCAUUGAGGAUAAAAAGAAAUGCAAACUUAGUCUUUAAUCUCCAGGAUUCGCCAUUCUCAUGGGAGAAAGAGACGACAUGUACAACCAGUUAUCUGUUCCCGGUCAAGAAUGCCACGUGAUGAAAUUCACCAGAGAUGUUUGCCAGCAAAUAUAUUGACCCAAUUACAGAGCAUCCAAUGGGAUCCUUCCUCAUUGUCAUGGCACACAGAGAGAGCCCCAGUAUCACUGCGUAACAGAGUGUCCCCAGGAUGUCUUUGUGACCCGAUUAAUUCUUGGCAUGCUGGCCCAGCCAUCUCAGAAAAGAGCAGUGACAAUACUCUCUUUAGCUUGAGGAAAAAAACAUGGCAGCAGAUGGUACCUUUAACAGAUGACAGCAGCAACUUGGUGAAGAAGCAAUAGAUGAUUGCUUCAAGACACCGGGAAGCAACUGCUGAUAUGAAAUAGAUAGCCUGUGGAAGUAAGAUGGAACAACAGCAGCAAAGGUCCCCACCAAAGCCCCUAGGAGAGAGGACUUGGAUAAACACCAGGUUGCCAGGAGACAGAGCUGCCAAAGGCAAUGAUGCAGUCAUGAUGCAGCCCUUCCUCACCUCAGAACAAGAGUUGCUCUGCUUUCCCUGAAAUUGGAAUGAGAUUGAAACUUUUUCACUCUAGAAGACUAAGAAUAUAUCUGCUUCUUGGUAUUCUCCAUUAUUUACUCUGCUACUCUGUCCCAAUUAAAUGCUUUAUGGUUUGGUUUAUGGUUCCUGCCUGCUCUUUUGAAGGAAUAUGUAUUGAAUGAGAGCUUAAAUCCUAUUUGUUUAAUUAUGAUUACCAAAAGGUCCCACAAUGAAUUUGGGGAGCUGUCAGAGAUGCCGUAUUCAUGUGGGACCUAUGCUACAUUUAUCUGGAAAAAUAUAAAAAUGCUGAUGAUUUCUUUGUGGGAAGUGUAUCUGCACUGUUUGUAAUUAAAAGUCUAGAGAACUAAUGCAUUUCCAGUUGACUCAAGGAAGAAAACAUCUGUCUUUUUUUUUUUUUUGGCUCUGCUAGCCAUUACACAUGAAGAAUGGAGUUAUAAUGGGGGUUAUCCCAAUCAAUACAGCUCUCUCAGGGUAGUACCAUAUGCUGAAAAUCCUACUAUUUCUGUUUUUAGUCUGAUAAACCACCCAAGAUCAAAAUGGAGACUAAAAGCUUCUAUAAAUCCCACGUCUACUCUAAGUUGACAUGUUGAAAGAUUAUACUAGAACUAGAAAGUCAGGAAUCAAAGCACUUGACUUUGGCUCUGUAAUUAGCUUUCUUUUUUCUCAUUUUGGAUAUGGUGGAGAUAAUUGGGAUUGCUACCAGGUAUCUAAGACAUUAGUUGAUGUCCUGAUUACAGAUAAUCUGGCUGAUUGGGUAGAGCCAGUGUGUAAAAUGGUAGCCUGGAUCAAUCCUUUACCUUGACAAAUCAUUCCUUUUUUCAAAAUGGAUAAAAAUAUCCAACUACAUUUGGGGUACUAACCAUAUUUAUUUAUAGGCAACUGUGUCUUGUACUUCAGAAAAAUUUACAAAAGGAAGCAGCAGCAUGCUGUAGUAGGAAGAUGGCAGUAUUUCCUAUCUCGACCAGGAUUCAAAUCCCAGCCUUACUACUUACCAGCUCUGUGCCUUUGUAUUCUCAUGUAUUCUCUUGCCUCAUAUUCCUCAUUUAUAAACACAGACUUGCACUAGAUUGUCUCUGAGUUCUCUUCUACUUAUAAAUCUAUGAUCCUAGGAUUUAAUAAAGACAGAGAAAUAAUCAUCUUUCAUUAUUUCUAAUAAAAAUUAUAGCAUGGCAUUAUCCUGAAAAAGAAAAUUGGGGGUGAAGGGAGAGAAAAGAUAGCCAAAAGGACAAAAAAGCACAGAACAGUGGUAUUUUAGAAUAAGGGAAGAUCACAUUUAGGUGGAUUAAAAAUAAACCCAUUUAACUGAGCCACUCUUCAACUCAAUGUAUUGCUAUUCUUAAUUGGCUGGUAAAUAAAUGACAACACAUUUAAGCAAUUUAGGAAUUACAGUCAAGAUUGUUGUGCUGUUUUCAAAACAGUUAGCUUAGACUGAUACAAUUACAAUAAUAAUGGUUCCUGGCAGGAGAAAGCACUUUUUCCCAUUGCCAGUGGAAAAGAAAAUGAAAGCAUCAUGGGAAUUUCAAUAUCAAGCCUAAUAUUUUCCUUUUCUUUCAGCUCUUCACCUUACAGAAACCCCCAGUUAACCAGAAUUCAGUUGAUUGAAAUCUUCAAUGAACAGAUUUUUUUUUCUUUUAUAAUCCUUUUAAAAAGAAAGCAAAAAAGCAAAUAAUAAGUGGAUGGUGGCAUGACCCACUCUGACUCAUUCUUUCAUGGGCUGUAUUUUCCCUCAUGAUUCCAGGGUAUCCUACAGGGCUUUGGAUAACUUUACUUGUACAUAAUUAGCUUGAGUCUCCACUGAGUUUCCUCCAAUUUGUUAUGGGGUCCAUAACUAGCAUAACAAUUCCACUUAACCAUUGAACACAAGGUAGUUUUUUGUUUUUUAAUAAAAAAGGAAUGUGUAUAAUUGAAAAUCUGUUACCCUAAAAAAAGAACUGCAUUUCCCAGGAGCCCACUGAUUUCCAGGCAUUCCAUACUUCCUGUAGACAGGGGAUAUUAGGCAAGGACGUGAAGGGUCUCAGCUUUUUGUUUCCUGUCCUGAGUUUGAUGGUGGGGAGGAGGGUGUUUGAACUGGCUGAUCAGCCAUGGGCAUGUGGUCUUUAUUUUGUAUCUUUUUUAUUCCUUGGUUUCCAAUGAUCAUUAAUAAAUCUCUUAAAAUAUAAUAUUUUUUUAUUAUUGAGAUUUAAUUUUAACUUUUACAGAUGUUUAUUUCAUAGAUAAAGGAAGAGCAACCCUACAAAUAUUUUUCUUAAUUUUCCACCUCACUUUAGUCUCUUGGGCGAGGAGAGACUUGUGUAAUGAAAUCAUAUUCAGUGAAUGAUUUUACCCUCUUGUCUUAACCAUAGAGAUAAUGACUCAAGACAGCAAAUAAUGAGUCUCAACUAGGGAAAGGUAGAAGUCUUGGCUUGUGGCUUUCUCAAGGCAUCUCCUGUGAGGUUGUAUAUUAUAACUAUUAUCACUUUACAAAUUAGGAAACUGCUAGACAAAAGUCUAAAGUGAUUUGCUCUGCCAGACAGAAGAAGAAAAAAAAAGAAAUAGAACUCAAAUCUAGAUGAUAUAAAUCUCCCCAUCUCUACUUUUUCUUUCUUGAGCCAGCAUCUUUCAUAAAGGUCUAAUCAGAUUAUCUAUCUGCUCAAAUUUCACUUAACCAUUCUCUCUUUUUUCCUAAAUAUAAUUCACAAACUUUGCAGGUAGUUUAAGAUCUUCCAUAACCUGGUGUUAAUCUGUCUUUAGCCAUAGCUCAUGUACACUUGGUACUCUCAUACCUUCGUCGGAUGUUCUGUAUUGCCUGGAAUGAUCUUUCCACCCCUCCUUUCACCUAUUAAACUCAUAUCCAUCUUUAAAA